CUCCAAUGGCAGGAUGUGAUCCACCGGCAACAGAGGACGCCAACAAGGAGUCUGAUAAGAAGCAGUUGUCGACAUGUCCUCGUCUUGCGUGGCUCAUUAGCAGCAGAGCUUGUUUGAAGAGGCAUUUGGUGUUACCCAGCAGCCUCUGUACCGGUCACCCAUACAUCUCCCCCAGUGCACCAUCUGCUUCAGCUCCAGCUCAUUUCCAUUGACAAUCAGGCCCAGACAUGGACACUGGAGCUCAGUUAAGCGCCCCAUCAGCAAAGUCCCAGUGCCUCAUGGGAACUGUGCAGCCAGACAAACUCUUCCCAGUGCAUGAAGAUGCAGAAAGAAGUCUCUAAGGAUAAAUAAUUGUCCCCUGUGACUGUCAGAGGCAUCCCAAAGUUCCAGCCGGUACUAAACUUGCCCAAUAGGUGUCACUGUGUAUUCUUGAA
rnacentral:lncRNA from 1 species